CUAAACACAUUCGCAAACUGCUCGUCGCGGUGACAGGACGUGCGCACAGCUGCUGGGCGGCGCAGUGUGGCGUACACAGAGGACUCGCUGGCAAAUUUCCAACAAUGGACCAAAGUAUAGCGGAGAAUUGUGGUAAAAUGCAAUUAUGAAGGAUUAAAUAUUUUUUGUUUGGUGUGAACUGCUGAUGGUUGAGAAAGUUAAAACCGAAAUUAAAAAAAAAAAUUAACAACCCAAAAUAACAACAAAAAAUUUGUUUUGCGUAUUUUUUGGAACAAUUUGUGUAAAGUGCGACUUAUUAAGUGUAUAAACAAACAAAAUGCUCUUGAAAAGCUGUCUCAAAGCAACAAAUGCUAGAAGAAACUUUCGGAAAUCCUUGAAAUUGAAAUUCAUUUCAGAUAUUAACGUGUUUACCUCUAAAUACAAUAGAGUUUGUUUAAAGAAAUAUCGUCUUGGUUGAACUGAAAGUCGCCAUAAUCUUUAAUAUGACAAUAAAGAAUAUUAAAAUGAACUUGGUGA